ACGCUGUUGUCAAAAUCGGCAAAAACCGCUUAAACAGGGCACAAAUAUCUGGCUACGGACCAGAAGGCCGGGGGUUCGAAUCCCUCACGGCGUGCCA
rnacentral:tRNA from 1 species